rnacentral:rRNA from 1 species
GACGAACGCUGGCGGCGUGCUUAACACAUGCAAGUCGAACGGAAAGGCCCUGCUUUUGUGGUGUGCUCGAGUGGCGAACGGGUGAGUAACACGUGAGUAACCUGCCCUUGACUUUGGGAUAACUUCAGGAAACUGGGGCUAAUACCGUAUAGGAUCUCCUGCUGCAUGGUGGGGGUUGGAAAGUUUCGGCGGUUGGGGAUGGACUCGCGGCUUAUCAGCUUGUUGGUGGGGUAGUGGCUUACCAAGGCUUUGACGGGUAGCCGGCCUGAGAGGGUGACCGGCCACAUUGGGACUGAGAUACGGCCCAGACUCCUACGGGAGGCAGCAGUGGGGAAUAUGGCACAAUGGGCGGAAGCCUGAUGCAGCAACGCCGCGUGCGGGAUGACGGCCUUCGGGUUGUAAACCGCUUUCGCCUGUGACGAAGCGUGAGUGACGGUAAUGGGUGAAGAAGCACCGGCUAACUACGUG